AUUGAACGCUGGCGGCAUGCCUUACACAUGCAAGUCGAACGGCAGCACGGGUGCUUGCACCUGGUGGCGAGUGGCGAACGGGUGAGUAAUACAUCGGAGCGUACCUUAUCGUGGGGGAUAAUGCAGCGAAAGCUGUGCUAAUACCGCAUACGCCCUGAGGGGGAAAGCGGGGGAUCGGAAGACCUCGCGCGAGUAGAGCGGCCGAUGCCUGAUUAGCUUGUUGGUGGGGUAAAAGCCCACCAAGGGAACGAUCAGUAGCUGGUCUGAGAGGACGAUCAGCCACACUGGGACUGAGACACGGCCCAGACUCCUACGGGAGGCAGCAGUGGGGAAUUUUGGACAAUGGGGGAAACCCUGAUCCAGCAAUGCCGCGUGAGUGAAGAAGGCCUUCGGGUUGUAAAGCUCUUUUGUCAGGGAAGAAACACCGGCUCUAACACAGUCCGGGAAUGACGGUACCUGAAGAAUAAGCACCGGCUAACUACGUGCCAGCAGCCGCCGUAA
rnacentral:rRNA from 1 species